rnacentral:lncRNA from 12 species
GGGGGGGGGGGGGGGGGGGGGGGGGGGGGGGGGGGGGGGGGGGGGGGGGAUCCCGUGCCCCCCCCAGUCGCUCCCAGUCCCUCCCAGUGUGCUCCCAGUCUCUCCCAGUCCCUCCCCGCGGCUCCCAGUCCCACCCAGCACCAAUCCUGUGCCCCCCCAGUGUGCUCCCAGUGCCUCCCAGUCCCUCCCAGUGUGCUCCCAGUCCCACCCAGUAUCAAUCCUGUGCCCCCCCGGUCCCUCCCAGUGUGCUCCCAGUCUCUCCCAGUCCCUCCCAGUCCCAUCCAGCAUCAAUCCUGUGCGUCCCCUUGAGGCACAGACACCCCAAAAUUCAGAGAAAUAUCCCCAAAUGUUGAGGCACAGACACCCCGAAAUAACCAGGGAGAAACUCCUCAAAAGCUGCGGAAAUGCCCCAAAAUGGAGACACCCUGAAAUGCAGAGAAAUGGCACAAAAUGAUGAGGCACAAACACCCCAAAAUUCAGAGAAAUAUCCCCAAAUGUUGAGGCACAGACACCCCGAAAUAAGCAGGGAGAAACUCUUCAAAACCUGCGGAAAUGCCCCAAAACGGAGACGCCCCGAAAUCCCAAGAAAUGGCCCAAAACAACAGAGCAGAAAUGUCCAGACAGAGACAUCCCAAAAUGAGGAGGAGACCCCAAAAUUCAGAGAAAUGGCACAAAAUGUUGAGGCACAGACACCCCGAAAUAACCAGGGAGAAACUCCUCAAAACCUGCGGAAAUGCCCCAAAACGGAGACGCCCCGAAAUCCCAAGAAAUGGCCCAAAACAACAGAGCAGAAAUGUCCAGACAGAGACAUCCCAAAAUGAGGAGGAAAGCCCCAAAAUAAUGGCACAGCCACCCCAAAAUGGUCAGAGAUAUCCCAGAAUGAGGCAAAAUGCCCCAAAAACGGCCAAGGACACCCAAAAAUGAGGCAGAGCGCCCCAAACCAGCCAGGCAGAAACACCCUACAAAUGGUUGUGAAUGUGGAGAGACACCCCGAAAUAGCGGGGCAGAGACACCCGAGAUUUGUCAGGCAGGGAAACCCCAAAAUGUCUGAUCAGAGUCCCCAAAAUGAGGAGAUUCAGCCCAAAACAGCCGGGCAAAAACUCCCGAAAACAAUGAGAUUCACCCGAAAAUGGCCGGGCAAAACACCCGAAAAAGGCGAAAUUCACGGCAAAACACCCAGGGUGAAAACACCCAAAAAAACCCCGAGAUUCACCCGAAAACAGCCGGGCAAAAACACUGGGAAAAAAACCGAGAUUCAC